UACAGAGGGGGCAAGCGUUGUUCGGAAUUACUGGGCGUAAAGGGCGCGUAGGCGGCCUGUUAAGUCAGACGUGAAAUCCCCCGGCUUAACCUGGGAACUGCGUCUGAUACUGGAAGGCUUGAGGAUGGGAGAGGGAUGUAGAAUUCCAGGUGUAGCGGUGAAAUGCGUAGAUAUCUGGAGGAAUACCGGUGGCGAAGGCGGCAUCCUGGACCAUUACUGACGCUGAGGCGCGAAAGCUAGGGGAGCAAACGGGG
rnacentral:rRNA from 1 species